GCGCGGGCAGCGGCUCGAGUGCCGGCGGGCCCCGCCCCACGCUCCCCCUCGGCGGGGGUGCAAAGUUUUGGACAGGGCUACAC
rnacentral:sRNA from 1 species